rnacentral:rRNA from 1 species
UACGUAGGGUGCAAGCGUUGUCCGGAAUUAUUGGGCGUAAAGAGCUCGUAGGCGGUUCGUCGCGUCGGCUGUGAAAACCUGAGGCUCAACCUCAGGCCUGCAGUCGAUACGGGCGGACUUGAGUACUGCAGGGAGACUGGAAUUCUGGUGUAGCGGUGAAAUGCGCAGAUAUCAGGAGGAACACCGGUGGCGAAGGCGGGUCUCUGGGCAGUAACUGACGCUGAGGAGCGAAAGCGUGGGAGCGAACAGG